rnacentral:rRNA from 1 species
AAUGGUAUAUAUAACAUUAAAAGCACCGGUUCUCGUCGGAUCACCGGAGUUAGGCUAUAUGAAACCUAGUUAGUACGCAGAUAGGUUAGUGCUUGAGAAUUUCAUGUGGUGCUAGCA